UCGCCGCCGCUCCCCGGCCCUGCCCCGGCCUCCCGAGCCCCCCGCAGCAGGGGAGGCGGCAGCUCCGCGCUCCCCUCACCCACCGCAUCUUCACCCCCACCCGCGCCCACCUCCGGCCCGCUCAGGCCCGUUACCUGCUCGUCGAAGCGGCUGACCACGGCCUGGACCCAUUCCACCGGCCUGUGCGCGGCCAUGUCCUCCCCGCGGCCGGGGGACGGCGCUGAGUUCGUGUUGUUCUAAUUAUACUCAAAGCUAUGUCAUUUGGUUCAUCCCACCUUUGACACUAUUGACAAUCAGAGUUGGAUAUACUCUGCCAGGGAGUCACAGAUAAAAGCAAAGCAUGAAAAAAUUCCAUGGAGAACUGCUCAAGCAAACAGAAGUGUAAGUAUCAAAGUCCCAGCAUUGGCAGAAUCUUCCGGGAACUUGAGAAACACAGAUUACCUAGUCAAGAUGGACCUUCCAGACAGACUGAAAACUAAUAAUAGGUGGCUGGGGAGAUAGACCGUUGAGUUAAAGUGCUUGCUGCACAAGCCUGUGCCCUAAGAAAGCUGAAUGUGUUGGUGCGUGUCUGUAAUCCACCCAGCACUCCUACGCAAGGUGAGAGGUGAAGACAAGAGAAUUUCUCCAGAAGCUCCUGGGCUAGCCAACCUGGAGUACGCGGAACAGCAGAAACAGCAACAGAGACCCUGCCUCAACAAGUGGAGGGAGAGAACCAGCUCCACACAUUUGCUAUGGCAUACACAUGUGCAUGCACACCCACACCAUACAUACUAAUAUUUUUAAAAUAAAAGUAAUAAAAACUAACUAUAAGUAAACUAUCAUUAAUAUGCUAGUUGGAAGCACGGCUUUUCAGACAACUGAAUGAAUCCCAGCUCUACUUAUGGUGAAACUGGAAGCAAGUUAAUUAACCUGCUGUUUCUGUGCCUUCUCUUACAAAUCAAGGGCAUAAAUAUCCCCUGCCUCAGAGGGUCACCGUGAAGACUAACUGACAUAACACACAGGAGGUAGUUAGCACAGUGCUGGACAUGUUAUUUUCACUGUCUCUUGUAGUUUGCCACCAUUCUUUCACACAUAUUACCUGAAACAGCUGUAGUCGUUAUGGCAGAUUCCACAUAUAGAUCCACCUAACAUCCACUCUCUAACCCUUUCUGAGGCCCACCGUGGCUUCUACAUGUGGGCGGAGAUAUGCAGAGCACAGGUUCUAGGACUGAGAAGGUUAUUCAGAUGCAGCCACGUGCAGGUGGAUCUGUCGUCUUUUGGUAACAACCAUGGUGGAAGAGCUUUGGAAGUUCUAGUGCCCAGUUGGUGAGCAGCAGCAGUGGGAUUUCCAUGAAAACAUGCAUGUUACAGAUUAAACUUUUCUCCUGGGCUUGUGUCUGGUUGUCAGCAUCCUAGUCUGUUUUCCAAGCACUGCUGGCAAUCCUAUGAGCCACCUACCAUGGGGCUGUAAUCCUUUUCUGUUAAAAGUCAUGACAGUGAAUUCUGUUGUCUGCAACUAAGAGCAAAGUAAUUGCCAAAGCGAUAAAUAUGGUAAUUAUCAGAAUGGUCC